GUGUGAUGGGACUUGGGCGGAUUUAACCUGCUCAGGGUGUGUAAUGAUUAACAGCCACCAAGUUAUCAAGAACGUGCCGUUUGCCGCGGAGAGAAAGACAGCUGGGUGAUGUCAUCAUUUAAAGGAAAGGACGCCUGCCCGGAGCCCGGGGAGAAAGCCACUGUCGCUGGGACCGAGCCCACGAGGACCGUGGGGCUGGAGGCUGCGGAGGAGCCGACCAAGCUGCCGGUGGGAGCCGCAGCGGCUGAGCCUGUCGGUAAUCAGCUGUGUGGGAGGGUUCGAGGACAGCAGCCAGGAACCUGCUGUUGUUUUUGUUUUUGAAGCUACACAUCCCACCUCCACCCCCCCAAGCGGAGAGGACGCUCAAUCAGUGCAGAUGUUCCCUUGGCAAGAAUCCACACACUUGAACAUGAAGAAGUAGACGCCCGGUCAUCUGCUCGCCGAUAAGGAUCUCGUAGAGAAUCGGCUUACGCUGAAAUGCUCAUUCUGAAACCCGCAGUGCCCGUCUGCAGACAGCUGCCCCUCGCGCACAGUGUUCGUCGGUCGGACCCCAAGGAUCCGGCGCCUUCGCCAAUCCCCAAGGACAGUUCUGCCCAGAGCUCUCUGGGCAGCUAUAUGGGCCAGAAGCGGCGUGACCCUCCACCCGGCAUGCAUGCCAGUCGGCCCUGGUUUCAUCCCCACCGAAAUGCCCACUCCACCUCUAAACCUCACACUGUUCGUUGUGAAUCACACCUGAGUGCCACACCCUGAGCUGCAGAGAAUCAGUGUGUGGCCGACUGAGAAGAAGCCGCUUCGAUUUUCCUGGAAUCGGUUAUCACCUCGCUGCUCCACAACUGGCUUCAGGUGGGACAUUCACGGACCGGUUUCCUCUCAAACUUGCCAAUUCGGAGGCUGCGUUUUCCACUCCUUGUCCGGUUACCAACGCUGAUGCGGGCAGGUCGUUUUCCUUAACUCUGAGCUUCAGGCCAGACGAGCCGCCUGAUUCAGAGUGGGGCCGGCCCGCUGGUGUGCAGGUCACAGCCAGCGACGUGACCGGCGGAGCUACGGGGAGCCCAUCGGCCGUAGCCUCCCGCAUGCGGGCCCCUGCCGCCCGGCCACGUAUGUCCUGAAACUCAGAAUCAAUCUCUAAGGACAGAAAGCAAAGAAAUGUCUGGGUGCCUGGGACCCUUGCGGGAAUUCUUGAAGGCACAGAGCAGGCAGGUGGUUUGAUGGAGAAAUUGCAUCAAAGGAAGAGGCUGGCAUAGUCAUGGAGAUGCCUUCUGCGAACGCCGUUCCAGAGUUCUGAGAAAGCUCUGUUUAUGGAAAUGGAACAGGACACAGCCUGGGGCGGCGGUCACGUGACUACUUGGAGACCCAUUCAGAGCGUCACUCCCCCGCCCACCGCAGCCCCGCCUGUGCAAGGCUGCCUCCCUGGGCUGUGCCUGCAGCCCAGAGCGCUGGGGCCGGAGACUCGAGGGUACUCUGGCCAGAAGCAAGGUCCUUCCUCUGCCAGCCUCUUGGGGAUUUUGAAACACAGAUAUGGGCAUAAAAUUUUAAAUCACAAAACGAAGACCAAGAAAAACAAAACACUCAAUGAACAGAGACCAGCACCCAUGGGAACAUUUCACAGACAGAUGUUCCAGUGGAACUCAGAGCCCUGGCCGGGGGCUCGGAUGGUUAGAGCGUCGUCCUGAUAGGCCAAGGUUGCAGGUUCGACCCCCGUCCGGAGCACAGAAAAGAACCAAGCAAUGAAUGUCUAAAGAAAGUGUAAGGGAGGAGGGAUGGAGAGAGAGAGAGAAAUACGGAUGUGAGAGACACAUCCACUGGUCGCCUCCUGCACGCGCCUCGACCUGGUCCAGGGAUCUAACCUGCGACCCCAUUACCUGACCUUGACCGGGAAUCCAACCCGCAACCUUUCGAUGCGUGGGCCGAUUCUCUAACCACUGAGCAACCGGCCAGGGAGAGAAGGGCCAGGUGUUAGAAGCGAGGACCACAUCCCAGAUUGAGGGCAACACUGACAUAACCCUGCCCUCACAAGUCCUAGAACCGAGCCGCCACAGCAACCUGCUGGGAACGGAACCGCCUUCCAGAGCAAAAGCCAUCACUUUUCAGAGGAAGAGGAAAAACCAGUGCAUACAGGGCGCCACCCCUCAGCAUAGGGACCCGAUCAAAAUCCACGGGGCACGCAGAGGAGCGGAGGUGGCAGCCGUCAUCAGAGGAAAAAGCCGCCAACGGGAGCAGAUGCUCUCUCCUCUCUGACAUUUCUACCUCCCUCUCCCUUCCUUUCUCUGAAAUCAAUAAAAACAUCUCUUUAAAAAUGGUAGUGAUUAAUAUCCAGAACAUAUGAAGAAUUCCUUCGAAUCAAAGACAAAAAUCACAACAACCGAUAAAUGAGUAACAGGCCGUUAUUACACAGAACAAGAAGCCACAGGACGAGACGUUCCGUCAGGAACAGGAAAAUGCAGGCGCAGCCCACGCCCACCGCACGGGCCGUCAUUAAAACUCGGGACGGCGGCUAGUGCGCCGGGAGGGGGACGACAGCCAUUCUCCCUCGAGGCUCCUGGGUGAGGAGCCCUCACCCACUCGGGAAGUGGGCUGGCACUUCCCGGUGCAGGGCUCCUCACGGGGCGCCUGGCGCUGCUCAGGGGUCUGUGAACGUGAAGGGGAAACACCCCCGUCUUCUCUUCACUGGCCUCCGACUGAGACUCGGCUGUGUCUCCCAUCAGGAAGGAACGGAACCGGAGCAGCAGCGGCCCCUGUGACUUUAUCCGGGGACACAGGUUUUCGGCGUCACAUUCAACUUGCUGCCGAAGCCGCGGAACAUCACUUACGCUCAUCGCCGUUCAAAAUGACGGUGGUCAUUAGUCCAGUGGCUGCAUAUGACCACUUACUGGCAGGGGGACAACGGAUUGCUUUACCAUAAACUUGGGUUUUUCUAAUAUUUUGAAAACCACCUUCCAAUACCAUUGGUUUCCCUGUAAUCCUCUGCAUUGUAUUUUCUCUCUUAAAAUGCUACUCUAA